CCUACGGGUGGCAGCAGUGAGGAAUAUUGGUCAAUGGGCGCGAGCCUGAACCAGCCAAGUCGCGUGAGGGAUGAAGGUUCUAUGGAUCGUAAACCUCUUUUAUAAGGGAAUAAAGUGUGGGACGUGUCCUAUUUUGUAUGUACCUGAUGAAUAAGGAUCGGCUAACUCCGUGCCAGCAGCCGCGGUAAUACGGAGGAUCCGAGCGUUAUCCGGAUUUAUUGGGUUUAAAGGGUGCGUAGGCGGCGUUUUAAGUCAGCGGUGAAAUGUCGGGGCUCAACCAUGGAACUGCCGUUGAAACUGGGGGGCUUGAGUAUGUUUGAGGUAGGCGGAAUGUGUGGUGUAGCGGUGAAAUGCUUAGAGAUCACGCAGAACCCCGAUUGCGAAGGCAGCCUGCCAAGCCAUGACUGACGCUGAUGCACGAAAGCGUGGGGAUCAAACAGGAUUAGAUACCCCAGUAGUC
rnacentral:rRNA from 1 species